rnacentral:rRNA from 1 species
ACUCCUACGGGAGGCAGCAGUGGGGAAUAUUGCACAAUGGGCGCAAGCCUGAUGCAGCCAUGCCGCGUGUGUGAAGAAGGCCUUCGGGUUGUAAAGCACUUUCAGUCGUGAGGAAGGUGGUAGUGUUAAUAGCACUAUCAUUUGACGUUAGCGACAGAAGAAGCACCGGCUAACUCCGUGCCAGCAGCCGCGGUAAUACGGAGGGUGCGAGCGUUAAUCGGAAUUACUGGGCGUAAAGCGCAUGCAGGUGGUUUGUUAAGUCAGAUGUGAAAGCCCGGGGCUCAACCUCGGAAUAGCAUUUGAAACUGGCAGACUAGAGUACUGUAGAGGGGGUAGAAUUUCAGGUGUAGCGGUGAAAUGCGUAGAGAUCUGAAGGAAUACCGGUGGCGAAGGCGGCCCCCCUGGACAGAUACUGACACUCAGAUGCGAAAGCGUGGGGAGCAAACAGGAUUAGAUACCCUGGUA